GAGGGUGGAUGCGCCCCGGUGGGCGUCCUGGUCUUCAAAACCAGUGGCAGGUUGCUCGGCAAGCUGCGGUGAGUUCGACUCUCAUCCGCCCUCG
rnacentral:tRNA from 1 species